CAUACUUUGUGCACUAGGGUUCUGUUUGUGCUGCUGAAGAUCAAAUGAAAGUUUGAAAAAUCCCUUUAGAAGCUUCCACUGGGAAGAAGCCCAUUUCUCAAAGACAAAGGAUGGAAAUAACCAGCAAGUAGAUCUCCCAGAAGACCUGUGUCUUCCAAAAGAGCAAGUAGAUAAAUUCUGAAGUUUAAGAAAGGAGGAGAAAGGAUAAUAGGUUAGGAAUGGGGACAUUUUAUCUUGAAAUAUAUAAUCUUGG
rnacentral:lncRNA from 1 species